AUUCCAGCUCCAAUAGCGUAUAUUAAUGUUGUUGCAGUUAAAAAGCUCGUAGUUGGAUUUCUGAUGGGAUCGACCCGGUCGGCUCCGAAAGGGGUCGCACUGGUGGUCUGUCCGGUCAUCCUCGAGGGGAGGCUUUCUGGCAUUCAUUUGUUGGGGAGUCGACGCUCGUCGUUUACUGUGAACAAAUUAGAGUGUUCAAAGCAGGCUUAGGCCGUUGAAUACAUUAGCAUGGAAUAAUAAGAUAGGACUUUGGUGGUUUAUUUUGUUGGUUUGCACGCCGGAGUAAUGAUUAAUAGGGACUGUCGGGGGCAUUCGUAUUUCAUUGUCAGAGGUGAAAUUCUUGGAUUUAUGAAAGACGGACCGCUGCGAAAGCAUUUACCAAGGAUGUUUUCAUUA
rnacentral:rRNA from 1 species